UUUGGGGUGUGCUUGCGCGCUGCGUUCGUGUUUUUUGUUCUGCCGGUGCUGCCUAUUACGAAGAUGAACUCUACUCAAGCGAGGACGUGUGGCGUCGCAUUUUGGAACACUCGCCAGCCUAUACAUGCUCGUCGUAGGAAGAGAGUGGGGGAGACGUCUGAACUAGCCCAUCGUCAAGGCUGGCUCGUGGAAAAUUUGACUGCUGGUGCACAUCAGCAGCGCAUGGCUUCUGUUUCUUCUGAAAAGCGAGCUGCAGAGAGCCACCUGGUAGCUGUAUUAAAGGAGCACAAAGGUUUAGGGUGUUCAAAGUUAACCCUUUUGUUUUUCCUUAAAA